rnacentral:rRNA from 1 species
GUGGGGAAUUUUGGACAAUGGGCGAAAGCCUGAUCCAGCCAUGCCGCGUGCAGGAUGAAGGCCUUCGGGUUGUAAACUGCUUUUGUACGGAACGAAAAGACUCCUUCUAAUAAAGGGGGUCCAUGACGGUACCGUAAGAAUAAGCACCGGCUAACUACGUGCCAGCAGCCGCGGUAAUACGUAGGGUGCAAGCGUUAAUCGGAAUUACUGGGCGUAAAGCGUGCGCAGGCGGUUAUAUAAGACAGAUGUGAAAUCCCCGGGCUCAACCUGGGAACUGCAUUUGUGACUGUAUAGCUAGAGUACGGCAGAGGGGGAUGGAAUUCCGCGUGUAGCAGUGAAAUGCGUAGAUAUGCGGAGGAACACCGAUGGCGAAGGCAAUCCCCUGGGCCUGUACUGACGCUCAUGCACGAAAGCGUGGGGAGCAAACAGGAUUAGAAACCCUGGUAGUCC